AUUUCUCUUAAAGGCUGCGUCGGUCUGCUUGUGUGAAUGAGGAGCUGCGGUAAAAUAAGAGAGAGAGAGAGAGAGAGAGAGAGAGAGACAGAACCUCCCUCCUUCGGCAGCUAUACCAGAUAUCAGUUCUGCGAACAGCCCGGCCUGCCAUGUUCCCUCUUUCGGAGCUCUCUACAAAAGAUGUUCUCACUUCGCCCGCUUCUCUUCAGAUAUGAAGUGAAGAUUGUGUGCUGGAACCAGGGAUUGCACUCUGAGGAAGAAGCUGUAAUCCUAAUGUAAACUACACAACCUGCAGCCUGAAAAUCCUCAUCAGUAAUCUCUUUGCUCUAGUCAUCAUAAUGAUUCUUUGUUGGUAGCCUCCCGCUACCUGUUUGGCAUUUGCCCCUUUUAACAAAGGAUUUCAAGUGCUGAUAACCCUCAAGAGACACACUUUACUACUAUUACCUGCCAUGGAUCUCCUGUGUCCGGGUGAAGGCGUGAGCCGGACACAGGCCUUUGUCGGCAAACUGUAGCCAUCUGGAUUCACUUCAACUAAAUUCCUGCGAUUUUAUUCUGGAGUUAUUCUUUAUUUGGACCCGGGAUGGAUGUACCGGAAGCCAGCAAGCAUGGCAAGAAGUCAACAAGUCAAAAGCUGGAGGAUCAG